AACGCGCAACCACGAGUCGUCUCGCCUUUGGGCUCAUCCAGACGCGCACGACUCUACAUGUAGAGAGAGAAAACCUAGAGAGAGAGAGAGAAAAACAGAGCAUUCUUCAGUUUUCUUCUCUUCUAGCGGAAUCUGAAAAUUAGGGUUUUAACGGGAUAGAUACAGAAUUUAUCAACAUCUCAAUCUGUGUUUGGGGUUCGGAUUAGGGUUUGGUUUAUCAUUUCUUUUUUCUAAUGUGCUAUUAGGCCUUCUAUUGCAAGGUCUUAAUCCGUUCCUGUUUGUUAAUAUAGUGCGCUCUCUCUCUCUCUCUCUCUAUACAUAUAUAUAUAAUAAAAUAAAAUAAAUUGGAAAUUUAAUGGACGAGAUCUGGGAAAGGGCGGUGGAGACAGCGCUCGACGGCCAAACAGACCUCGCUUCGGUUAGAACCCUAACCCUAGACGGAGCAGUGAAGUGCUUUCAUGGUCGUCUUCCUCCUCCAUCCCGCGUCGAGAAAUUCCAGAACCUUCAACAUCUCUCCCUCGCAAACAUCGGUCUAUCGUCGCUCGACCAUUUUCCUCGCCUCAAAAACCUUCAAAAACUCAUUUUGUCCGACAAUCGCAUCGCCGGUGGCCUUGAACUUCUCGUCGAAGCUGGUCUUGAAUUGCUUCGAGACCUCGAUUUAUCUAACAAUCGAAUUCAGGACAUCAAUGAUCUGAAGCCUCUUAGGGAGCUUAAGCUUGUCUCUCUUGAUCUCUAUGAGUGUCCGGUCACGCGGGUGAAGGAUUAUCGUUCUAGAGUUUUUGGAUUGAUUAAGUCGUUGAAGUACUUGGAUAAAAUGGACGCGGAAGAGAAUGAAAGGCCCGAGUCUGAGGAUGAUGAGGACGAAGAGGAUGAUCCCGGGAGUGGUGAAAUUGAUGGUGAGGAUCGGUCGUAUAGGAUGAGUAACGGACAUAGUGCGGGUGGUGAAGGGGUUAUUGAUGUUGAUGAGGAUGAAGAGAGUGAUGCUGAUGGAGAGGAGAGGGAAAUGCUGCGAGGGUCAGGCGGAUGGAAUCCGGCUUCAUUGAAUCAUUAUUCAAAUGUUUUUGGGGUUGUGGCUACUGGUGAUAGAGAGGAAGAAGAGGAGGGUGAGGAUGAUAAUGACUUGGUGGAAGAGAUUGAUGAAGAGGAGGAUGAGGAUGAGGAUGAGGAUGAGGUUUAUGAAAUAGAUGACAGUGAUGAUGAUGAAGAUGAGGUUGAAGAUGAUGUGGAUGAUGAAGACAGUGAGGAUGAAGAGGAAGUUGACAAUGACGAGGGGGAUUUUGGAGAACUGGAGAGUACUGGACGAUUGGUGAGUACAGAAGGGGAGAUCGAUGGACAUGAGCAGGGGGAGGAAGAUGGAGAGGAGGAUGAUGGAGAAACUGGGGAGGAAGGACAAUGUGUUGAAGAAGAUGGAGUGUUUGAAGAAGAGGAAGAUGCUGAGGAGGAGGACGAUGAUUAUGCAGGCUACUUACUUCAACCUGUAAGACGGGCUGAAGAAAAUGCUGGAGGCAGUGAUAUUGACCUUGGCAAUGAUAGUGAUCCUGAAAUGGAGGAAGAUGUUGAGUAUGAAGAUGAAGAUGGAGAUGGAGAUGAAGAUGAUGCAGUUCAAGUGCAACCACCAUCCUCUUCACAUAAGAGGAAGAGAGAUGAGGAUGACAGUGAGGAAGAAGAUGAUGAUGUUGGGUAUGCCAAGUCAUCGAAACACCGUUAGCAAUAAUCAGAUUUUCCUGUGUGAAUAUGGCUAAGUUGGUUCUACUAUGGAAAGAAAAGAAAGAAUUUCACAAGAGAAUUGGUGAGGAGGAGGCAGCGGCGGCGGCUGGUAGUUACUCUUUAGCCCUGUGUGGACAAGUAUUUUGGAAGGAAUUAUACCUUGGAUGGCAUGGCACUACUUGUUCGAAAGGUUGUUAGUUUGUUGUUCCCUCCCUUCCCUUGCCUUCCUUACAGAGUGGCAUAUUUUGAAUUGGCUUGUUAAAACAGUUGUAAAUAGCCUUAUGAUGCAUGCGUUCCAUUCAGUCAUGCGGGGGCUUCAAAAUCCGUAAUUAAUUCCUGUCCCUUGCCACGUGUAUCUCUGUGAGCUACUUUACUUUUCUUAUCUUACUAAUAAUGGGGGAUAUUGCAGAUGUGUAGGGCAGAUGGCUGUGUGAUGGAAUGAAGUGAUACGAGGCAGUUUUAUUCUGUACUCUCCUCGAAUUUCCUGGAAUAAUGCAAUAAUUUUUGAAUCUGCACGAUUAUGUCGUGAUCAUGUGGAAUUUGCGUGAAUUAGGAGGGCGGAUUUAUUUAUUAUAUUUAAUUUCAACUUUGGAUUAAAUAUUCAGCCGUAUGGCAUUGUCUUGUCUCGCUUAUACGAUCUCCUCUUGUUUUUAGUGCAGGUUAUGAUAAAAAGUCUUUUAAGUUGUUGGCCUCAUCAUUUAUAAAUUAUAUGUAUGAUAGUACAGCUGUCGGUACAUUAUUGGAUAAUGAGUGGAACUGUGUGCUACUGUACAGUUGGAAUGCAAUUCAUGCUCACACCGUCUUGAGUGUGUAUUGGCUCGGCUCUUCAUCCUUUAGCACAAGUUGGUCGACUCCUACACGUAUUGACGCCGAGUUUCGAACUUUGUAGCGGGCUCCUAGUUUCUCUGCUAAGCUCGAGCAGCUGAUUCUAUUCUUCGGCAAUGACGGGCACCAAGCCAAGUGUUUUGCAGAAUAUAAUUUUGUAUAUUCUUUUCUUUUUCUUUUUUUUAAAAUAUUUUUCUUCUUAUCACAUUAUUAUAAUGAAUUUUAUUUCAAAUAUCAAAAUUUGUCAUAUGUUAAAAAAAAAAAAAAAUUAUAGAA